rnacentral:rRNA from 1 species
GGGCCCGCACAAGCGGUGGAGCAUGUGGUUUAAUUCGAUGAUACGCGAGGAACCUUACCAGGGCUUAAAUGUAAGUUGCAUAAGCUAGAGAUAGCUUUUUUCUUCGGACUACUUACAAGGUGCUGCAUGGUUGUCGUCAGCUCGUGCCGUGAGGUGUCAGGUUAAGUCCUAUAACGAGCGCAACCCCUGUUGUUAGUUGCCAUCGAGUAAUGUCGGGAACUCUAACAAGACUCCGGUGCAAACCGCAGAAGGUGGGGAUGACGUCAAAUCAUCACGGCCCUUACGUCCUGGCUACACACGUGCUACAAUGGCCGGUACAGAGAGCAGCCACUACGCGAGUAGGAG